GUAGGCUACAUGUUGCCGACCAGCAAGGCAACAUGGACUGGAGCAAGAGUUUCAGAGUGGUUACCUCUCUUUGGAUUAAAACAGAAAAAUAAACAGCAGCUGGUACGCCCUCAGAUACAGCUGACAACACACAGACGUCCAACAGAUGAUGGACACACGUACAGUUUAACAGUGAUGAACUGUACCUGCUGUGCUGGCAAACACCUCGCUUGGCGCUGACCCUUCUGAGAUAAUGGUAGCGGCGGCGGCGGCGGCAGCAUCACCCGUUGGAGUGCGGUCAAAGGUCAAGGUGCCGGAGGUGGUGAACUGUCCUGACGGGGACACUGUGACUGUUGGAGGAAGACAGACUUCUCAGCCGUGUUUGGACAAUCACUUGUGAAGUCAAAGUUUAAAUGAUGUGAUGGAAACUCCAGGACUUUCAAUGAAUGUUCAUGUCUCAUUCAGAGGAUGUCCAACUGUUCAUCAAUAUUUCAUUCAUUUAAAUAAUUAAAUAUCAAACUGAAUUCAGUCAGUAAUUGCUCUAUAGGAUGAGGUGACAAGAAUAUUAGGGUCAUUUUCAAGGUGUCAAAAGGUCAAGGAAUAAAAACGGUCUAAUCUGA